rnacentral:rRNA from 1 species
GCCGAGGACAAGGUUCUUUGCAAGUGUUGGCGAGACAUUGGACAAGACCCAAAGAUGGGCGCCGAGCAAAAGCAUUCAACCUUUUGGACUCGUGUGCACCGUGAGUUUCAUGAGCGCAAGAAGUUUUCACCUUACCAAUUUGUGAGCACGCGUGGGUGAGUCUCCAUUUCCAAGCGGUGGAGGGUGAUCCAACAAGAGUGCAACAAGUUUUGCGCCACCCUUGAGAGUGUCAAGGCCCGCCCCAUGAGCGGCAUCGGCGUGCAAGCCAUGGUAUGA